AAGUAGGCUCCAUACCCAGCCUAGAGCCCAAUGGAGGACUUGAAAUCACAACCCUGAUACCAAGACCUGAGCUGAGGUUUUGACAGAUGCCAGGCUCGACAGAAUCUUUGGCCCACUGUGGUCAUUUUUCUCCUGCUCCUGGAUUCCUGUUUGCUCACCGGCUGUUUCAAUGGCACUUGCACCCAUGAUUGUGAAGAUGCUGGCCACAUAGCUCUGCUUGCUGGAAGUUCCUCCUGCCUUGGAAGCUGCCAAAUGACUUGGUGCUUCCAAAAGCCCACUAAGUAAUUUGAGAAGCAUUACUGAAUCGCUGAAACUCAGCACACAGGUCUCCUACGUCACAGAAUUCAGUGUACUUUUUUUCCCUAUCUUUACGUUACCAUGGAUAGCAUGGGACUGGCUUCCUCAGUCUGUUAAAGAAAUUAUCCUUCUGGAAAAAAGCAUGCGUGAUGAGGAAGUUGUUCUUAUAGAAAGCUUACAGAAUUUAUCAGGACUGUUUCUGAGCACUGGCUGAAGUUGUGGAUAGUCUGUCACUAAGGAAGAGGACAAUUAGAUCUCAGCUUCGAACACUGCUCAUUAAUAACUUCCAUUCCUAGGAUUUCUGUUUAUAUUUAUUACACAGAGUAGGAUAGUCACACUCCAUUCUCUUAAGUACAACACAGGUUCAGGGCAUUUAAGUUGCCCUUUAUUGUUUUACUCUCCAGUGCCUAACACAGGAUACACGCUCAAUCUCUGUUGAAUGUGGGUGGCUUUGUCUGAUGCAAAAACAUUAGCAUAAUAAACAAGCUCUAAAGAUUUAGAAAAAUAGGGGCGCCUGGGUGGCUCAGGUGGAUAAGCAUCUGCCUUCGGCUCAGGAU